AAACACCCUUUUCUUGAUUUGGGGAGUGUCUCCUGUAUCUCACUGGUGUGCCUGGGCACGGAAAUGCCAGUCCUGACGGAGGAAAAAUUGGCAACCGUGAGCCGUCGAGAGUACCAGGCCGAGGUUUCCAGAGACGUCUGAAAUGGCCCAGCAUCUCCUGAGAUUACAAGUUGUGGAUUGGUGAGUAAUCAUCUUUUACACCACUAACUUCAAAGACGCUUCUGGAGGAAAUUUCUAGUUAAGAAAAAGACACGCAUGUGGAACCAGACUUGGGACGAUUCUCCCUCCAGGUCCUCCUGACAAAUCACUAAGUUCGUCACAAGCAAAAUUCCUACUGGAACUGCAAAGGCUUGGGGUAAGUCUGAUUUCUCUCUGAGAAGUCUAGCUCGUGU